GACGAACGCUGGCGGCGUGCUUAACACAUGCAAGUCGAACGGAAAGGCCCUGCUUUUGUGGGGUGCUCGAGUGGCGAACGGGUGAGUAACACGUGAGUAACCUGCCCUUGACUUUGGGAUAACUUCAGGAAACUGGGGCUAAUACCGGAUAGGAGCUCCUGCUGCAUGGUGGGGGUUGGAAAGUUUCGGCGGUUGGGGAUGGACUCGCGGCUUAUCAGCUUGUUGGUGGGGUAGUGGCUUACCAAGGCUUUGACGGGUAGCCGGCCUGAGAGGGUGACCGGCCACAUUGGGACUGAGAUACGGCCCAGACUCCUACGGGAGGCAGAAGUGGGGAAUAUUGCACAAUGGGCGGAAGCCUGAUGCAGCAACGCCGCGUGCGGGAUGACGGCCUUCGGGUUGUAAACCGAUUUCGCCUGUGACGAAGCGUGAGUGACGGUAAUGGGUAAAGAAGCACCGGCUAACUACGUG
rnacentral:rRNA from 1 species